GUGGGUGUCCCGCGGCGCCGGAAACUGGGCGCACACACCCUCGGAUUGACGUGCGCACGCGCACCGGUUACCUUCAGGAGCGCCGAAGAAGGAAAGAAGACUGCCAGCUCCGUGACAGCAAGAACCUUGUAUGACUUUUUCAUGAUGGAUGUUCAUCUGUGCCAUCUGUAAAUAUUGAAUAAAUAUUUGUGGAAUACAUGAAUCUAAAAGUGAAUGGAAUGAUAAAGAGGGAAAGGGUCAUGACAUCUACUACAGCAUUUGGCACAGACCCAGCUGUCUGCAGUACUAUCAAGAGAUGACAUGGACUUCAAGGAUCAAACAGGGGAGAAAAAGGCUUAAAAGAAAAACAAGUCUCCAUCAAAGGUAAUAACCACAAUGAGAACUAUACAUAGCUAUGUGCUUAUAGGUCUUAGUUCACAUUCCCCUCAUUAAAAUUAUAGCUCAAGAAAUAAAGGGCUGUUUAAUGACUUGGGUAUAUAAAUAUACUUCAUUUGUAUAUUUUUUACUUGCUAAAAUCUAUCCAAAUUGGUAUUACCUCAAACCAUAAUCUUCUACUGUAUUUUAUAAUUUUACUUUAUUGCCAUGUAUUUUUCCCACUGAUGUUCACAAAUUCACAGGAAACAUCAGCCAUGUACUAAAUAAAAUAUGAAUUGAAUCGACAAAUAGAACUAUAAA
rnacentral:lncRNA from 1 species